GAGAGAGAGAGAUGAACGUGAUACAGAACCUAACCACAAAGAUUAUUUUUGAGAGAGAGAGAGAGAGAGAGAGAAUGGACGUACACAAGAAAUAAAAAAAAAAAUGAUGGGCCAACAACAACAACAACAACGGUGAAGAUAACGAUGACAACUUUAAUAAUCGGUGCGUGUGUGUGUUCAAGAGCACCUGGCAACAAGGAGACUGAUUGGACAGGUGUGACUUUGAAGGGACAACAAAAAGAAGAAGGGACAACAGGUGCAUUCAAGAGUUACCUGGAGAAGAUCCUACCUGAGGAAUACCUUGGACUAAUUAACCAGGAAGAAGAUUCAUCCCACCUUGCACACCUGGCUCUCCUGCACACUUGUUUCAAGAUAAGCCUGGUUCACCUUACUGAGAGAGAGAGAGAGAGAGAGAGAGAGAGAGAGAGAGAGAGAGAGAGAGAGAGAGAGAGAGAGAGAGAGAAUAUGAAAGCUAUCUACUCUUAUUUUUCUUUUAUUUUUAGUUUAAUGCAUGGUAAUGUAAGGAAAUAAUUAGUCAUUCUAGAGGAACAUUUAAUCUAGUAAGUGUUGUUGUUAUUAUUAUUAUUAUUGUUGUUAUUAUUAUUAUUAUUAUUAUUAUUAUUAUUGUUGUUGUUGUUAAUGAUUAUACUAAAGGAAAGUGCAUUCAAACCAGAGAAAUAACAUCAGAAAAUAUAAAGACUCAGACUCCAUUAAUCGCUUAGGAAGAAGAGUAUAUAAAUAAAGCAAAGAUAAGAAAACACAUCACUCAUUCUUUCUUGAUUCAUGCAUUACCAGCGCCUUUCUUCCCUCCUGUCCUUCAGCCAUGUCUUAUUUUUACCUUCCCUUCCCUCUUGGUAUUCUCUCACACAUUUCUUCUUUCUUUCUUUAUUCCUUCAUCCAUUCGGUCAACUCAUUCAUUCAUAUAUUGUCUUGCUCCCUAUUUCCUUCCUUCAAGCAUUCACUCAUUCCUUUUCUUCUUCAUUUAUUCACUCAGUCACUUAAUUCAUAUAGUCUCAUUCCUUGUAUUAAAUAAUUGCAUUCUUUUUUCUCCCUUCCUUCCUUCUUUCAUUCAUAAAUUGCUUCAUUCCGACCUCCAUUCAUAUAUUCAUUCAUUCUUACCUACAAUCAUUCAUUCAUUUAUUCAUCUAUUCACUCACUCAUCUAUAUAUAGCAAAAGCAAACAUACCUAAAAAUAAUCCGAGACAAAUACCAACCAUUCUCCUUCCUCCCACACAGGACAAGCCAAGCCCGCCCAGCAACGCCCAGUCAGUCCGUCCUCCAUUCCCUGAGACCCUUUCUUGUGAAGGCACAGGUUCACAGGCAAGGCGCUCAGGCAUGGAUGACGGGUCUUACACGCCCAGACAUUACCCGAGGACCUUAUGACCACUCCUUCAGGAUCUUACUACGACCUUCAGGACCUUAUCAACACCCCAGGAUCCUGCCACGACCUUCAGGACCUUAUCAACACCCCAGGAUCCUGCCACGACCUUCAGGACCUUAUCAACCUUGCUCUGGAUCUCUACGUCUCUCCACCGCCACCUCGCCACGCCCUUCAGGAUCGUACCACUUCUAGGAUCUUAUUACGCCAUCCAGGAUUUUGUCACCACUUCCUAGAAUAUCUGCAUGUCCUCUCCGCCUCUGCUCAUUCCGCUACCACCUCGCCAUUCCCUCUAGGUUCUUAUCACUCCCCUCAGGAUCUUACACUAUUACUAAAUCUAACAGCGCCGUCUUGCCAUGCUCACACACAUACCACCACUUUUCCACAACGUACUCGCCCACCAAGACCUCUUGCCAUUCCCCCCAGGCACAUUACGAAGAUUUUCUUGUCCCUCUCUCUCAACCUUUCCACCUCCAAGACCUCUGCCUCUCCAUUACCAUACCCAGGAUCAGGGCUACUAUCAAUGCAGCUAGUCAUCCAUUCAUUUAGCCAGUCAGUCAGCAAGCAAACAACCCACCUAGUCAGUCAGAUAUUUUACCACAAAGUCAGCCAUAUAUAUCGUGUCUAUAGUAUAUAUAUAUAUAUAUAUAUAUAUAUAUAUAUAUAUAUAUAUAUAUAUAUAUAUAUAUAUAUAUAUAUAUAUAUAUAUAUAUAUAUAUAUAUUGUGUGUGUGUGUGUGUGUGUGUGUGUGUGUGAUUUUGCCAGAGACUGUUCUUUAUAUAUAAAUAAUCAAUUAUAUAUGUGGCAUUGUUCAGUUCACACUAAAAGUUUAUUAGUAUUUUGGAUAUAUAGCUUACAGGAUGUAUUGUAAAUGUAGAAGAAAAUGUUUUAAGUAGUGAUGAUAUAAAUAGGUUAAUUUUUCUUUUGUGUAGCGCUGUUAAGAAUAAGAAAUAUGCAAAUAUGAAUGUGUUUUUUUCUGCAAUAGAAUUUGGUGCAGUGACUAAGAUGUGUGGACCUAAUUGAGUGUGAUGUUAGAUUUUUAUGGAGAUAAUGAAAAGUGGGUAAUGAAGGGUGAUUAGGACUAAGAUAACGGGGAGAAAGAGGAGUAGGAGGGGGAAUAUUAAUAAUGAGGAGGAGGAAGAGGACUGGGAGGGAAAUAUUGAUAAUGAGAAGAAUAAUUGUAAUGAUACUGUUUGUGAGGACGAAAACGAUAAUGUUAUUGAAUGAUGAGAGAGAUUAGGGAGAGGAAAAGUAAGGAAAGUUUGAUAAUGAAGAAAUGGAUAGUGACAUUGAAGUCUGAGAGUACUAAGAAGAGAAUAAUGAGAACGAUUGUAAUAGUAAUAAUGGUGAUGAUAAUGCUCUUGAUGAUAUGGUUAAAACUAUUAAAAUGAGAUUGUACUAAUGAUAGUGAGAGACGAUACCGUACAUAUUUGCUUAUUCAUCAUAGACUUAUUAUUUUUAUUCAUUAAUACACUACAAAAUUAAUUAAUUAUUAGAUGAAUAUCAGUCACACUACAGACCUAAGAAACAAUGAAAGUAACUACCACAUUAUAUAUACUCAUGAUGAAGUCUUGGAUCUCAUGUAAAAAAAAAAGAGAGAGAGACGCCCUCAAGCCUGUAACAUGUUUGAUUAACCCUUAGAAAAAUAGUAUAUAAUAUGUGAAAGUCAACAUCCUAAGCUUUGGUCAUAAUAAAAAGUUUAAAAAGUUUGGAUUUUACAUGACCACAAACAAAUUCAGCAAGCAUAAACAGGAAAAAGAGAGAGAAGACAAAAUGGGAAGCAAAAUGAGAGAACUUAAAGUUAGAAGGAAAAAAAAUGUAGAAAAUGCUGAAGAAAAGGAAAUAACCAAUUGGAGAGGAGGAGAGGGAGAGGGGGAAGUGGAGAGGUAAGGGGAAGUGAAAUAACAGUUGAUAAGGCGGAGUAAAUGACACCACUCAUUCAACUUCCUACCGGUGCACCAAGCCUAACGUAAAAGAAAAUAAAUAAAGAAGUUGGUAAUGAAGUCAGGAAGGGACAGGCGGGGGAAGGAGGAAGCAAAUGUGGUCUGGGUUAGGAGUGGUCAGCAUUUUGUAGACUCGGCAACAGGCAGUCAGGAAAUGGCCCGUGAUACUCCAUUUCUUUUGCUACUGAAUAAGAAAAGAAGAGAGAGGCUGGUUAGGUCUGGCUAUUUCUAUUACUACUGAAAAAAUAAGGGGAGGCUAAGGAUGUAUGAGGCAGCAUUUCAACAGACUCGAGAACAGACAAAAUGGGUAAAAAAAUACUCCUUUUUUUGCUGUUAUCUAAUGGCAUAAACUAUGGAGAGAGGAGGGAGGUGGUUAGGUAUGUUACCGUAUGUAUAAGACAGCAUUUCAUAUACUCGAUAAUAAAGUAAAAAAUAGGUCAAAAUACUCCUUUUCUGUUAUUUCAUGCCAGAAACUAUGGAGAGCGAGCAAGGGAGGUUGGUUAGUUAGGUAUGCAUUAGACAGCAUUUCAUAUAAUCGAUAAUAUAGUUAAAAAAAAUAGGUCAAAAUACUCCUUUCUAAUGUUAACUAAUGCCAGAAAUUGCGGAGAGAGUGAGAGCAUUAUAAAUAUCAAAUACUCGUCAAUCUAGUUUAUCAGUGGAGCAAAUUUGUUCAUUUCCAUAUGUUACUGCGCGAAAACAACACAUAAUUACAAACUUACAACAGCAGUAGGUGAAAGUAAAACGAGUAGCUCCAGUGUUCCGAUCCACCUAACUUGACACCCCAAGCGUUUCAUGAAGCCGAGCCGUGAACCGGAAAAUAUGAAAGCAAACGCAUCUAAAAACAAAAUCAUUUUUGCUUUCCCAUAUCCAAAAAAAAAUAGCAAUAUAUAUUUUGGUAAAUCUUAAGAAUAGCGGCUCCUAGCGGGUGCGCAUUUAGGGCACGGUGUUUUGGUAAUUACAACAUUUCUAGCACGUACGACGGGGUUUUGACAAGCGGACAGGCGUGUUUAUGUCACAAGGUGCAUUUUUCCGCGCGGGCUCUCCCCUUUCUUCAUCCCGGAGCUCGCAGUCUCAUCGCCCAUCGACUUGAAAGAAAUCGUGAGGCCAGCGUGGAAAAAUACACGUCUGUCCGCUUGUCAAAACCCCGUCGUACGUGCUAGAAAUGUCCACCACACCGUGCACCGUUUGAGGAGCCGCUAUUCUUAAGAUUCAUCUAUAUUUUAAUCAGUUGUUCACUUGUAUAUCAAUGUUCUAAUUAAUUUUCAGUUAUUUUUUUGUAUAAUUUCUGAGGAUUCUAAAAGACAAAAGCGAAUCACGUCAGCUUGUUACUGAAAUAUGUAAGAAAAUUCAUCUAAAAGCAAAACCAAAUUACUCUCCUCUUUCCAAAAAAUAGCAAGAUUUAUUUUAAUCAAUUGUUCACUUGUAUAUCAACUCUUUAUAUCUAUAUUGGUCAUUUUCCGUAUAAUUUCUGAAGAUUUUGAAAGACGAAAGGGGACGUUAGCAUAUUACUGGAACCUCAAGAUGGCGGACAGGCUAAAGAAGGAAGACGGAGUGAAUUACAAAUUAGUGACGUUUUAUGCAUUGUGCGCGGGUGUCUUGAUCGCAGAAGUUGACGUAAAGGUUAAUUACACCAGGCAAGACAAUAAGCAGGUGUUAGGAGGCCCAGGAACGCCGUAAUGAAGCUGGGAUUUACAAAGGAGCACUGUGUGUUGAUUGAGUGGAGGACAAAGACAUAUCCAGAGAUCUCCCAGCAGGUCAAGAUGCUGGAAAGUGAUAAGAGGACGUCACAUUGAAUGACUGGCAGGCUGCAGCAGCUACAUGACAUGCCAAAAGGUAAUGAAUGGUUAUGCAGUGUAGCUCAUAAAAUAAACGUGUGUAUUCAUAUACAGUGAUGCAUCUAAUUUUGUAAGAUAGAAGACAGUACUAUUUGGUUUCAAGGUGCUGCAAGUUAGAGUAAGAGCAUAAUAAUGACAGUAUUAGUAAGAUCUGUGUGGAUGCAGUUUACUUUUUGGAGGUGAGGAUCUCAAAUGCCCAUUCAUCAAAAGUUCAGCGUAUUAAUAAUCAUUUAUAGUGGCCAUGUAAUGUAUUAUUUAGCCUUGCUGGUUUGGCAAAGAGAAGGAGUUAAUUAUUACCCUCAGCAGACUGCUGGGGUGUGCAGAGUACAGCACCUGCCUUGGGUCUGGUGCUUUGUACCUGCUGAGUGUUUUUUGUUCUAAGCAUUGGUCAAGGUAUUAGUGGAAAGAAUUUUCCUCCAGUUAGUCAAAUAAACACUACUUUGCAGAAGAGCUUUGGAGCUGACAGUGAGUAUAUGCUGCUGGGAACCAUUCUGUCACAAGUGUGUGUGUGUGUGUGCAUCUACCUAUUUGUAGUCUACCGGGCCCGAGCUAAGCUCUAAUAGUCCCGUCUCCAUAUCUACAAGUAGGUGUAUGUGCGUAUGUACGUGUGUGUAAUUCACCUCUUGGUCUGCUGCGGGUCUCUCUCAAGAUAGCCAGCCGUUCCCCUACGGAAGAGCACAGAGCACUGAUCUUUGGUGAACACAGAAGUGGGGACAGAAAGCUGCAUCUAGUGCCGGAUGGAUGGACGUGGUGAACAGGCACAGAGGGGAGGUGAUGACUUACCCACAGCAGGCAAAACAGGUUUACAUCUUCCAAGGUUUAUGAAUUUCCCUCAAAUGCCAAGCUCCUGAAAUUUCUGCCUGGAUAGAGUUUAUGCUUCCAAUGAGGCAUUCAGAAGCCCGAGCCCACCUAGCCUGAUGUUACUGACAGUAAAAAGACUAAACAUUGAAGUGAUAUGGUCUGACAUGGACAAGACUACUUCCAAACAUAUAUUGCAAAUUAAAUAAUUAAUUACUUUUAUGCAAAGACAAAGCUUGUUUUAGAACUUAAUUUUUUAAGCAAUAAAAUAACUUACUGAAACUUAUCAAAGUCCACCUAAUUUUUAAGUUUAACCAUCUAGUCAGUUUUCUAGCAGGGAAGAGAAUCUGCAGCUUCAGAUGCUGUGUGAAGACCUUGCAUCUCAAGAUGCCAUAGAAAAGUCCACUUAAAAAUAACGUGUACUUAGUAAACAACAAGACAGCCAAGUUAAAACAGUGGGUAGUUUUUAUUUUCUGCCUCAGCUACACUGGCGACGAGAAGUACAGACGCUGCUCCUCUAGUGGAGGUCAGACAAACACACUAACAUUGAUUGUCGAUGAUGCACUUUGUUCCCUUUCCAAGCUUUAUAUGUCUUGUGGAGUGAUGUGACGUUUGGGAGAAUUGGUCCACAACUACAUGAUGUGACUGUUUUGCAAACCAGCAGUAUUGCAAGCAGUACUAUUAAGACCUUGUAAAGCUCCAUAGUCACUUUCUCAGGAUUAAUAUAAUCCCUUCAUGAAUUAACAAUACAAUGAAACAUCCUGACUUAAGUUUAAAUGAUAAGUAUUAUAUUUAAUUCCUGCAACUUUUGGCUCCUGUCCAACAAACAGCCAGCAGAGCUGGACUAAAAGUUUGUAUUAUUAGCCUGUUAUUUUUACCUUCUAUUUUUUUAAUUUUUUUUAUAUUUUUUAUAUAAUUAAUUUUGUCUACUUUGUCAGACUAAGGAGAUGCUGGCUUGUCAGGAAAGAAGAGUAUUUGAGAACGAAGACGUGCAGCCUUGUCCGAGGACGGCAUAAUGUAUUUUGGCGCAAUCAGCUGGAAGUUCGGGGAUGUGGCAGCUACUGUGGGGAUCCUCUAGAACAGCCUGUUACUGAUCUUGGUUCUAUCAGUGUUGGGUCUAGUCGCUAUGUCUUCAGCGAGCUGCAGUGCAUUUUCAAAGCAAGCUACUGAACAUCCAACCAACCGUGUGUGGGGCCGAGGCACCCGCCGUACCUCUUAAGUGAGACCGGUACUCCUGACCGCCUCACCCUCGGGCAGCGGCGCCAGCUUCUCCUCCAGGGAUGACACCGGGGACGAGUUGCCGGAGCG